GUGGUCUAGUGGUUAGAGCGUCCGCCUUGAAUGCGGGAGGUCGUGGGUUCGAACCCCGGAAAGACU